rnacentral:rRNA from 14 species
GACUGCCUGUGACAAACCGGAGGAAGGAGAGGAUGAUGUCAAGUCAUCAUGGCCCUUACGCCCAGGGCGACACACGUGCUACAAUGGCCGGUACAGAGGGCAGCUACUUGGCAACAAGUUGCUAAUCUCGAAAAGCCGGUCUCAGUUCGGAUUGGAGUCUGCAACUCGACUCCAUGAAGCCGGAAUCACUAGUAAUCGCGGAUCAGCCAUGCCGCGGUGAAUACGUUCCCGGGCCUUGUACACACCGCCCGUCACACCAUGGGAGUGGAUUGCACCAGAAGUGGUUAGUCUAACCUUCGGGGGGACGAUCACCACGGUGUGGUUCAUGACUGGGGUGAAGUCGUAACAAGGUAGCCCUAGGGGAA